UCAAAACAUUCUAUUUCUUCAAUUGUUUCAUGGUUGCCAUGGCUUUAAAAGAAGCAUUAAAGUAUUCAAAAAUCCUUUCUCUCAAUGGUCCAUGACUUUUCUAAGAAUCCAGCAUUGCUUCUGUAGUGGAACCAGGGGUUCUUAGUGACUAUCGAAGCUUUGCUACUGCUGCCAGAACACAAAAUAAAUGAAGGUCAUGUCCUAAUAUCUUUAGAGAAUCUUUCUGCAACAGAUCAACUAUGGAAUAUUUAUAAUAUACAGAUAGUGUUGGAAACUUGGAAAAGAUAUCUCUGAGGCUGACUUUAGAAUUUAUGUUUUUUUUAAAUAAUUUGCUCAAUUUUAAAAUCCUAAAGUGCAAUGCAUAUCUAUUUGUUUCAGGAAGAUUAUUCUGACUGCCUUCUUUCUUAGGCCUCACUGUAUCAUAACCCCUGUGCUACUUGCAUGCAUAUCCACCAUCACUGACUUGUUCCUUAAGAAUUGUUCCUGCGGAGACGGAGUGGCUGUCAGUCAGACAUGCUCUAGUCUAGAGGGGAUUUCAACUGCAGGUUGAUUUAGAUGUUGUUUCACAUCCUUGAAAUUCUAAGAAUCCCUGAUUCUGUGACAAAAGUUUCAACUCGGGAAGGAGCCUGUGAAUUGUGCAGAAAAUGUUGGUGGAUUUGGAAAAUGUUCUGAUUGUAGAAGGAGUAGAACUUGGACAGAUGCUGGCUAUACAAGGGUUAUAUCUAUUGAAGUCUCAGCAAGAGACAGCACACUCCAAAGGGCAACUGAAAAGACUUCACUGGAGAGACUGUUUACAAAUUGUGAGCAGGGCUCAGGGAACCAAUAGACACACCUGGGUUUAAUGUCAAGAAGUUACAUGGAAGAAGACGUUUUGCACAAUUUAAGAAAAUUCUGAAGAUUAGAACUCUCCAGCUGGAAUUAGAAAAGUAUGUGAAACAGGCUGACUCUAUUACUGGAAACAAACAAGAGGACAGGCUGGCUGUGUGCAAAUAUUCCUCAGGAAAGGAUCCCUGCAUUGGAUGUGACGUGUUUUGCUUCUUGAAAUUAUCGUUAGAUUCCACAUGACCUAUAUUAGCAUUAGAUUCUAUGAUUUCAUAAAUUUUAAAGAUUGAUUUCAA